rnacentral:rRNA from 1 species
AGAAAGACUAACCAGGAUUCCCUUGGUAACGGCGAGUGAAGAGGGAAGAGCCCAGCACCGAAGCCUGCGGCAGUUUUGCUGUUAGGCCAUGUGGUGUGUGGGUCGGCUCGCGGGACCAUCACUCCACUCGAAGUCCAGCAUUGAGUAUGGCCAUAACUGGAUUUGGCCCAUAGAGGGUGAGAGGCCCGUACGGGUGGAGGCUCAGACAUGUACGAUGGUUCACCAGGCCGGCCUCCGAGUCGGGUUGUUUGAGAUUGCAGCCCAAAGAGGGUGGUAAACUCCAUCCAAGGCUAAAUACUGCCACGAGUCCGAUAGCGAACAAGUACCAUGAGGGAAAGUUGAAAAGUACUCUGAAGAGAGAGUAAACAGUACGUGAAGCCGCAUGCAGGUAAACGGGUGGCGUCAAGCUGCGAGCCCGGGGGAUUCAGCUGACUGGGAUGUAGUGUACGCGCGCCUGGUGCGUCGAGAGGUCGGAGUAAGAUGUGGUGGUGCACUCCUCUGCUGGGAGUGGGGUGCGAUCGGUGUGCGCUUGCGUAUACUGGUUGUCGCUAUGCAUGCCGGGUGGGUGCCGGAGCAUGCCGCUCAUCUGUUGGACCACCUAGUCAGUGCAUUUUCUCCGUGGUGAACACCACGACCGGUGGAACUGCCAGUCUGCUGUGAUCAAGUCGUGUUCUCCUGGCGCGUUACUGUGUUAGGUGGGCACGAUCGCAGGCGGAGUCGGUGGACGGCGCAGUGGUGCUUCGGUACUGCCGCGUGUUAUCGUGUGCUCUCUGUCGUAAGCGAUUAGUGGGGUAGACUAAGUGCUGUGACUACUUCCCUACUAGUUGGCGGAUCACAGUGGCGAAAGGGACUGUGCAGGGCACCGGAGUUGUCCACCUCAUUCAAUAUGGUACUCGGCACGCACGUUACAGGUGCUUUAUAAUCGGGAUGUGCCGCUGUCUGCCUGGUAUUGGGCCUGACUGUCGUGUUGCCUGCGCAAAGUGGGUCCGGCAGUGGUUUCGAUGCUUGGUAGUCGCAGUGUGUUGCAUAUCUCGGGUGUCUGUGGUACCGGGGGUGAAAUAGUCAGUGGUGCUGUGUAGACGAG